rnacentral:lncRNA from 1 species
GGAGAACAUCAUUUGAGUGUAUUUCAAAAAGAUACCUACGUACCAUUAUUUAUCAAUGCAAACUGUAACGAGCCAUGAGCUUAUAAGAUCUCAGCCUUUAGAGCCCUCCUUCAAAGGAUUCAAACUCAUUGUACAACAAUGGCGGCUAAACUUAAGGAACUAGAAUGGAUAAAAAACCAGGCAGUUGCCCACAGAUAUAGUGCCAAGACUAUUUAUAAAUUGUGAAACAUUAUGUUAAACAAAUAUGCACAGAACAUACAGGUUACACCAGAGAAUGAUCAAAGAAAAAGUGAAGAAGAGAAAAAAUGCUUUACUAUCGACAUAAAUCCCAUUACACUCAAAUAUAAGAGAAAGUUAGAAAAGGCUUCAGGAGUAAAAGUAGUUUUUAAUAGAAGAAACACCCUAUUUAACACUUUAAGAUCUGACAAGCCGUGAUAUGAUAGGAAUACACUACCAGGAGUAUACGAAAUACCUUUUUAUGAUAAUGAUGUGCAUCAAGAGUUUACAUACAUUGGAUAUACUACAAGAUCACUUAAAAAACACCUGCAGGAGCAUAAAAGAGAC